AUUCCACCUACACUUGAUUAGAAAACUAUCUUUGGAAUCUAUAUUUAGAGAUCUUUUCUGGCUCACAUCUUGAAUGUCUCAUUUUUAAAGCCAAACUUUUCAUCCUUGAUUUUGAUGCGAUCCAAUCAUAAUUUUAAAACUAU